AAGAAGACCGGAACUUAGCCUUUCUGGCUCUCAAGCUGUCCCUGGUGUGGGAACGGGAUGCAAAGUACAAAUGGAAAGGAUAGAUCAUGAAGGAAAAAAUGGACACGCUUUUACUGAGAAGGAAGAGAUCCUGGAUGAGAUGCACGUGAGGAUGGUCACUGCCAGGACCAAGAUGCUGCUAAUGUAUACUGGAAUAGCCCCAUGGUUUACCUGUGAUUGGCAUCCAUCCUGACUGGUCUGUGCCUAUGCUCUCACUUGUUAUACAUUUUAAAUAUCAUCUCUGUCAACUUCCAGUGAAAACGUUAGGGAGUCAAGAUAUGUCCUCAACCAGUGAGAGCAAUCCCUGCUUUGAAAGCACUUUUGCACCAAUGAAAUAUAAAUAUAUAAACAAAUAAAUUCCAAAAAUGUAAAGCCAUUAUUUCAAAUGAUUUUAAAUGGCCAAACUGAAUGUUUUGGCAGCUUGGUGACUUUAUGGAAAAAAAUAAAUUGCUGAUGAAUUGG
rnacentral:lncRNA from 1 species